rnacentral:rRNA from 1 species
CCUACGGGUGGCAGCAGUGGGGAAUAUUGGGCAAUGGGCGCAAGCCUGACCCAGCAACGCCGCGUGAGGGAAGAAGGCUUUCGGGUUGUAAACUUCUGUUGUCAGGGACGAAGCAAGUGACGGUACCUGACGAGUAAGCAUCGGCUAGCUCCGUGCCAGCAGCCGCGGGAAUAUGGGGGGUGCAAGCGUUAUCCGGAUUGAUUGGGUUUAAAGGGUGCGUAGGCGGUGUGGGAAGUCAGCGGUGAAAUGCCCCCGCUCAACGGGGUGAAGUGCCAUUGAUACUGGCUUGCUGGAAUGCGGGUGCCGUGGGAGGAAUGUGUGGUGUAGCGGUGAAAUGCACAGAUAUCACACAGAACACCGAUGGCGAAGGCAUCUCACGAAUCCGCGACUGACGCUGAUGCACGAAAGCGUGGGUAUCAAACAGGAUUAGAUACCCCUGUAGUC